UCCGACUUUACGUCGGCAGUCUCGCUAGAGUGCUCGGCUUGACCCGUUAGCAACUAACGACAAGGGUUGCGCUCGUUGCGGGACUUAACCCAACAUCUCACGACACGAGCUGACGACAGCCAUGCAGCACCUUCUACCCGGUUCCCCGAAGGGCACUCCCACAUCUCUGCAGGAUUCCGGGCGAUUUAACCCAGGUAAGGUUCUUCGCGUUGCGUCGAAUUAAACCACAUGCUCCGCCGCUUGUGCGGGCCCCCGUCAAUUCCUUUGAGUUUCAACCUUGCGGUCGUACUCCCCAGGCGGGGUACUUCCUGCGUUAGCGCCGGCACCCAGAGGGUCGCUCCCCCAGGCACCUAGUACCCAUCGUUUACGGCGUGGACUAC
rnacentral:misc_RNA from 1 species